GGGGGAAAGUAGAAGCGGAGGUAUUAUGCCCUGAGCCAGAACAGGCAGGCAGGUCCCCAGCCCGGGAUUCCUCACUCGUCUGAAGGAGGCUCUACAAGCGGCUUUGACCCUAUUCCCCCAGGUCUCAGGAACCCCUCCACAGUCCUGCCCUAACCUAAAGCAUGUUUCCGAGGAGCCAUCUCCCCUUUUCCUCGUGCCUAUCAUCUGCCAGUACUGUUCCCCCACCACACACAUAAGUAAACUACUGGCAUCUUUAAAUUUGGGCGUGCGAGCUGAGCACUGUCGCACACAGAAUCUCAACACCAAGGAAGCGGAGGCAGGACUGGGAGUCGAAGGCCAGCCUGGACUACACAGUGAGACGACUGCCCAACACAGCAGCGAGCAAACAAGCAAAUGAAAAUA